GUUGUGCCCUUGAGGCGUGGCUUCCGGAGCUAACGCGUUAAAUCGACCGCCUGGGGAGUACGGCCGCAAGGUUAAAACUCAAAUGAAUUGACGGGGGCCCGCACAAGCGGUGGAGCAUGUGGUUUAAUUCGAUGCAACGCGAAGAACCUUACCUGGUCUUGACAUCCACAGAACUUUCCAGAGAUGGAUUGGUGCCUUCGGGAACUGUGAGACAGGUGCUGCAUGGCUGUCGUCAGCUCGUGUUGUGAAAUGUUGGGUUAAGUCCCGCAACGAGCGCAACCCUUAUCCUUUGUUGCCAGCGGUCCGGCCGGGAACUCAAAGGAGACUGCCAGUGAUAAACUGGAGGAAGGUGGGGAUGACGUCAAGUCAUCAUGGCCCUUACGACCAGGGCUACACACGUGCUACAAUGGCAUAUACAAAGAGAAGCGACCUCGCGAGAGCAAGCGGACCUCAUAAAGUAUGUCGUAGUCCGGAUUGGAGUCUGCAACUCGACUCCAUGAAGUCGGAAUCGCUAGUAAUCGUAGAUCAGAAUGCUACGGUGAAUACGUUCCCGGGCCUUGUACACACCGCCCGUCACACCAUGGGAGUGGGUUGCAAAAGAAGUAGGUAGCUUAACCUUCGGGAGGGCGCUUACCACUUUGUGAUUCAUGACUGGGGUGAAGUCGUA
rnacentral:rRNA from 1 species